ACAACUUUGAAAUUGAGGCUUGGAUUGGAGAAAAGUUAAGGAGUUUGGGUGAUUUUGGUGCUUGGAGCUUAGAAAUUUGUGGAAAGGGUAAGGCAUUAGCUGAUCAGCCAUGAGUUUCAGGAGCAGGGUGAAGAAUGUACAUGUUCAUGCCACUUCAGACCAAGCAGGUUAUGGGUCUAACAGUGUUGACUUUUGUAUUCUGUUUUGCCGCUUAGGUCGGCUAGUAAGAAAGAACUUGUAAUAAGUUUGUAAAUAUUUUUGGGAUCCCAACUAUUUUGAAAAGUUUAAAUAUAUUACAAGUUUAUUUUCAUUCUGAUUAAUAUAAAAGUUUAAAUUCUGCGCUA